AGUAGCCCAAAUUUGACCAGGCUGUAAACCAAAUAAAUAUUUUAAAACAGUCCAUUUACAUUGGCCCACCAACCAGUAGACCCAAAAUCAAUUGGCCUAAACCUUAUGCCCGGUUACAACUCAACAGACCCAAACCCGUUACAUUACUGGCCCAUUUCUAAAAUCUUACUCUUAAGGCCCAUUACAACAGACCCAAAUGGACCCAAGACUAAAGUGGCCCAACUGGCCCAAACCGUUACACCGAGGCAUGAAACCCUAGGGUUUCUGCCUCUCUUUCUCCUCGCGCCGCAAGAAGAAGAUUCCAGAAGCCAUCCCAA
rnacentral:lncRNA from 1 species